AUUGAACGCUGGCGGCAGGCCUAACACAUGCAAGUCGAACGAGUGGCGGACGGGUGAGUAAUUUCUGGGAAACUGCCUGAUGGAGGGGGAUAACUACUGGAAACGGUAGCUACUACCGCAUACCAUCAGCUGUGCCCAGAUGGGAUUAGCUAGUGGGUGGGGUAAGGGCUCACCUAGGCUACGAUCCCUAGCUGGUCUGAGAGGAUGACCAGCCACACUGGAACUGAGACACGGCCCAGACUCCUACGGGAGGCAGCAGUGGGGAAUAUUGCACAAUGGGCGCAAGCCUGAGGCAGCCAUGCCGCGUGUGUGAAGAAGGCUUUCGGGUUGUAAAGCACUGUCAGCGAAGAGGCGUUACCAGCAGAAGAAGCACCGGCUAACUCCGUGCCAGCAGCCGCGGUAAUAC
rnacentral:rRNA from 1 species